rnacentral:rRNA from 1 species
AUAGCUGGUUAUUCAAGAAACGGAUAUAAGUCCAACUUAAAAUUUCUACAAAACCCCCCCCAGUAUAAUAAUAAAUUUUAAAUUCACUCGAAUAAGGUACAGCCUAUUCGAAACAGGAUACAACCUAAAACAGAGGGUAACACCAUAAAAUAUGAUAAAGUAGGCCUAAAAGCAGCCACCUUUAAAAAAGCGUUAAAGCUUCAUCAUACUACACCAUUUAAUACCAACCCCAACCAGAAACCCCUUAUUAAUAUUGAAUGACUCUAUAAUUGUAUAGAAAACUCUAUGUCUGAAUCAGUAACAAGAAUAACUUCUCCAAUAAACGUAAGUGUAGGCCGGAAUGAACCUCUCACCGGCACUUACCGCUAAUAACCCCAUAGUAAUAACCGCACAAGAAAAUUUUACUAUUCUAAAGCGUUAACCUUACACUAGAACCUUCCUGGAAAGAUUAAAAUGGGAGGAAGGAACUCGGCAAAUAUUAACCCCGCCUGUUUAC